CACGUAGGGGACGAGCGUUGUUCGGAAUUACUGGGCGUAAAGGGCAUGUAGGCGGCCUUGUAAGCUUGGCGUGAAAGUCAUCGGCUUAACCGAUGGAUUGCGUCGAGAACUGCAGGGCUUGAAUCACGGAGAGGGAGCUAGAAUUCCAGGUGUAGGGGUGAAAUCUGUAGAGAUCUGGAAGAAUACCAGUGGCGAAGGCGAGCUCCUGGCCGAUGAUUGACGCUGAGGUGCGAAAGUGUGGGGAU
rnacentral:rRNA from 1 species